UCUUCCCCUAACCCACGCCGUCUCAUUCCCUCCCCGAUCUCUACCUCUCUCACCCUUGCCUGCGCCCAACCGCCAACCACCACGAGCCACCGUGAACAGAAUCGUUGCACGUCGCCGACCAACCAACUCCCUCCUCUCCCUCGGCCCCUCACUCCCUCGACGUUGCCUAUCUUCUUCUCUUCUCGAUUUCUACCCCUGACAGCCCUUGUCGCCACCAGCAACCAAACAGGCCGCCAUCAUUCAAUCUCCGUGAGCCAUCGCACCUCUAGUUGCACAAAAAGUGCUGACCACCACACAGGGUGGCUCCUCCGUGUUCAACCAAGACAGCAAAGGCAAAGCCACAGAUUUAUCAUUAUUUCCUCCACGCCAUUGCAGUCACAAAGAGCCUCCAUGACCCAGACAUUCCCUCCAUCUAGCACGGUAGCAGCUGCUUUUCUUGUCUCAAGCCUACGGGCAGCUUCACCAUCAACAACCACCCGAGACAUUCUCAGCCCCUAGAUUUUUUGUAUUUCUCAAGUUGAGAUAUGAGAUCACCAAGGUUGAACAGAUCUUUGUGGUGGGGAACUCUGGCAAACAUUUUGAGAUAAUUCUAGUUAAGUGUCUUGGAUUACUUGUUUAAUUCCAGCAUGUUUAUAGAUGAUUUUAGGAAACCACACAUAUACACACAAGUGCACAUGUUCCACUUGAUCAUAUCUGGAAUAGAUCAAAGGUGUUGGAUGUAUGCCCUUGAAGCAUUAUGGGCUCUGGCACUAGUGGAGCAUGCUAAAAGGUGUGGUCUUACUCAUGAUAAAUUUUGUGGUUUGGGAUUGUAUUUGGAUUAAUGAGAGAGCUGUACAUGUGUUCUCGUA